rnacentral:misc_RNA from 1 species
CUCAUGAACCCCGACCUUUUGCCGCAGGUCACGGAGGGAGCUUCGUAGCAGCCCAGUGCCGUAGCAUGCCGGCGAGCUGCAGCGCGUGGUGGGGCGCCUCUGAGACAGCGCGUCGCUCGGCGUCAGCCGUCUGCGUGGCAAGGCAGCAGAAGCAGCAACAGCAACCGCUGGAGCGUCGCCGUAGAAGGAGAAGAAGGAGGCGAGAUCGUCGUCGGAGGGGAAGCACGGAGCUCGACACCAGCGAUCGAUGAGCGCGGGGGGGGAUGGGGGCUCGGCACUGGGCCCCCCUGGGCUGCCGGGGGUCCAGCCGACUGCCGCGACCCCCUUCAACGCGACCCCCCCCGUCGUCGGCCAGCAGCAAUAUGGCGUCGGUGGCGAUGCACAGCUGGGUAACGCACAACCGCCUCCGCAGUCGCAGACAGGUGUGGGCCCCGGGGCCGCCACCGCCGCCGCCGCCGCCUCCAAGUCGGCCCCGAAGAGGCCCGCCAGACGGGGCGGCAAGCCGCCACCCGACAGGCCCACCAGGGCCCUCUUUUGCCUGCCUCUCAAGAAUCCUCUUAGAAAGAUGUGCAUCAGCGUCGUGGAGUGGAAACCUUUCGAAUGGCUUAUCCUUAUGACCAUAUUUGCGAACUGCGUCGCCCUGGCCGUCUACACGCCGUAUCCCUUUGGUGAUUCGAAUCAGACCAACCAAUACUUGGAGAAGAUAGAGUACGUUUUUCUUGUGAUUUUUACGGUGGAAUGCGUGAUGAAGAUCAUAGCUUACGGCUUCGUCGCCCAUCCGGGGGCUUAUCUCCGCAACGGCUGGAACCUGCUGGAUUUCACGAUAGUCGUUAUCGGUAUGGUGAGCACGGUGCUGACGAUACUCAUGAAGGAGGGCUUCGACGUCAAGGCCUUAAGGGCGUUUCGUGUUCUGCGUCCUCUCAGGCUGGUCUCCGGUGUUCCAAGUCUUCAGGUGGUCCUGAACUCUAUUUUGAGGGCGAUGAUACCGCUUUUGCACAUCGCUUUAUUAGUUCUCUUCGUCAUCAUCAUCUACGCCAUCAUCGGCCUCGAGCUGUUCUCCGGGAAGAUGCACAAAACUUGCAGGCACAACGUAACUGGCGAGAUAAUGGACAAUCCGGUACCUUGUGGCCCGGGAGGCUUCCAGUGCUCUCGGGUCGGGGCCGAGUACUACUGCAGCAAGCAGUUCUGGGAGGGUCCCAACUACGGCAUCACGAAUUUCGACAAUUUCGGACUGGCCAUGCUCACGGUCUUCCAAUGCGUCACCCUCGAGGGAUGGACGGACGUGCUUUAUAACAUCGAGGAUGCGAUGGGAAGCUCGUGGCAGUGGAUAUACUUCAUUUCGAUGGUCAUCCUCGGGGCUUUCUUCGUGAUGAAUCUAAUUCUCGGUGUGUUGUCUGGCGAAUUCUCCAAGGAGAGAGAGAAGGCGAAGGCGCGUGGCGACUUUCACAAACUCAGGGAGAAGCAGCAGAUCGAGGACGAUCUCAGGGGCUACCUCGACUGGAUAACGCAGGCGGAGGACAUCGAGCCGGAGGCUGACGAGCCGAAGAUGCAAGACGGAAAAUCCAAGCAACAGAACGAAAUGGAGAGCACGGAUCAAUUGGAGGGCGACGAGGAGGGUGUCCAACAGGAAUCCAUUUGGAAGAAGAAAAAGAGAGAUCUGGACAGAGUGAACAGGCGGAUGAGGCGAGCCUGCAGGAAGGCCGUGAAGUCCCAGGUCUUCUAUUGGCUCAUCAUAAUUCUGGUUUUCUUGAAUACCGGCGUCCUCGCCACGGAGCACUACAAUCAGCCGCGCUGGUUGGACGACUUUCAAGAGAUCACGAAUAUGUUUUUCAUCGUGCUGUUCUCCAUGGAGAUGAUGCUGAAGAUGUACAGUUUAGGCUUUCAGGGUUACUUCGUCUCGCUGUUCAAUCGCUUCGAUUGCUUCGUCGUGAUCGGCUCGAUCAGUGAGAUGAUCUUUACAAAUACACAUGUGAUGCCGCCUCUUGGCGUUUCCGUACUCCGUUGCGUCCGGCUGCUCAGGGUAUUCAAAGUAACAAAAUAUUGGAGAUCACUGUCGAAUCUGGUGGCCUCCUUACUCAACUCGAUACAGUCCAUCGCCUCCUUGUUGCUCCUGCUUUUCCUUUUCAUCGUCAUCUUCGCUCUUCUGGGCAUGCAGGUCUUCGGUGGAAAGUUCAGUUUCAGCGACAUGGAGGAGAAGACGCGUCACAACUUCGACAGCUUUUGGCAGAGCUUGCUCACCGUGUUUCAGAUACUGACCGGCGAGGACUGGAACGUCGUAAUGUACGUCGGAAUUCUGGCUUACGGCGGCGUCGCCAGCAUCGGUGUGCUCGCCUGCGUUUAUUUCAUCAUCCUCUUCAUAUGCGGCAACUAUAUCCUCUUGAACGUAUUCUUGGCUAUCGCCGUCGAUAAUCUCGCCGAUGCCGAGUCCCUAACUGCCAUCGAGAAGGAGGCCGAGGAGGAGGCGGAAAAAAAUAAAUCACGCAGCGGUUCACCGACGAGGGAUGAGGUCAGCGGUGAAGCUGGCGACGAUGGAGGCGAGGGGACCGGAGGAGAGGACGAAGGCGCCGGUACGGAUCUCGAACACGAUCCUAACGAGACAAUGGAGGACUACGAGGCCGCACUAGACACCGAAACAUCGGAAAAAAGCGAGGACAUGAAUACGCAUACGAAAGUGCGGCUCAACAUUGAGUCGGACGAGGAAGAAGUGGAGGAAGAGGAAGAGGAGGGAGUCGAACAGGAGGAGAUGCAAGAAGACGGACAGGAAGUGUCGGCUAGACCGCGAAGAAUGUCCGAAUACAACAUGGCGACUAAAAAGGAACCGAUACCGGCUGGCUCGGCGUUUUUCAUCUUUUCGAGCACUAAUAGGUUUCGCGUGUUCUGCCAUUGGUUCUGCAAUCACAGUUACUUCAGCAACGUGAUACUGAUCUGCAUUAUGAUCUCCUCCGCCAUGUUGGCCGCCGAAGAUCCAUUGAAAGCCUCGUCUUAUAGAAAUCAGAUACUCAACUACUUCGACUACUUCUUCACCACCGUCUUCACGAUCGAAAUCUGCCUCAAGAUGAUCUCAUACGGCUUCAUCAUCCACGACGGCGCGUUCUGCCGCUCGGCUUUCAAUCUGCUCGAUCUUCUUGUCGUUUGCGCCUCCCUCGUCUCCAUGACUUUCACUUCCGGCGCGUUCUCCGUGGUCAAAGUGCUCCGAGUGCUUCGCGUGCUGAGGCCGCUACGCGCGAUUAAUCGUGCCAAGGGACUGAAGCACGUAGUACAGUGCGUCAUCGUAGCGGUAAAGACUAUCGGAAACAUAGUCCUCGUCACCAGCCUCCUGCAGUUCGUGUUCGCCGUCAUUGGCGUACAGCUCUUCAAGGGCAAGUUUUUCUAUUGUACCGACGCAUCGAAAAUGACGAAGAACGACUGCCAGGGCACCUAUUUGGAAUUCGAAAACGGUAACAUCAAUAAGCCGAUCGUGAAGGAGCGAGCGUGGCUGCAGUAUCGUUUUCACUUCGAUGACGUUGCCAAGGCGAUGCUGACCCUCUUCACGGUCUCGACUUUCGAAGGUUGGCCAUCACUGUUAGAGUGGUCGAUCGACUCCAAUCAAGAGAAUCAUGGACCAAUUCAUAACUUUCGGCCGAUCGUGGCCGCCUACUACAUCAUCUACAUCAUCAUCAUCGCGUUCUUCAUGGUGAACAUCUUCGUCGGUUUCGUUAUUGUCACCUUCCAGAACGAGGGCGAGCAAGAGUACAAAAACUGCGAGCUCGAUAAGAAUCAGAGAAAUUGCAUCGAGUUCGCGCUGAAGGCUAAGCCAGUGCGGCGAUACAUACCGAAGCAUCGAAUACAGUACAAAGUCUGGUGGUUCGUCACCUCCCAACCCUUCGAGUACACGAUAUUCACAUUAAUCAUGAUCAACACCGUGACGCUCGCGAUGAAGUUUUAUCGGCAACCGCAAAUGUACACGGAGGCCCUGGACGUCCUCAAUAUGAUCUUCACCGCGGUAUUCGCCAUGGAGUUUGUGUUCAAGCUGGCAGCAUUUCGAUUUAAGAAUUACUUCGGCGAUGCGUGGAACGUCUUCGAUUUUAUUAUCGUGCUCGGCAGUUUCAUCGAUAUCGUUUAUUCGGAGCUCAACCCUGGGUCCUCCAUCAUUUCGAUCAACUUCUUCAGACUGUUUCGCGUGAUGCGACUGGUCAAGCUGCUGAGCAGAGGAGAGGGCAUUCGUACGCUCUUGUGGACGUUCAUUAAAUCCUUUCAGGCUCUGCCCUACGUCGCUCUACUUAUUAUAAUGCUCUUCUUUAUUUACGCUGUGAUAGGCAUGCAGGUCUUUGGGAAAAUCGCGAUCGACGACGAGACGUCGAUAAAUCGCAACAAUAAUUUCCAGUCCUUUCCACAAGCCGUGUUAGUUCUAUUUCGAUCGGCGACGGGCGAGUCGUGGCAAGAAAUCAUGAUGGAUUGCUCAGCGCAGCCGGGCAUAGUCAUGUGCGAUCAAAACAGCGACGAAUUCAACAACCCGGUCGGCUGCGGAUCGGACAUUGCAUUUCCCUACUUCAUAUCUUUCUACGUGCUCUGCUCAUUUCUCAUUAUUAAUCUCUUCGUCGCCGUUAUCAUGGACAACUUCGACUACUUGACGAGAGACUGGUCGAUCCUCGGGCCGCACCACUUGGACGAGUUUAUCCGCCUGUGGUCGGAAUACGAUCCUGACGCGAAAGGACGUAUCAAGCAUCUCGACGUGGUAACGUUGCUGAGGAAGAUAUCGCCGCCUCUAGGUUUUGGGAAGCUGUGUCCUCACAGGGUAGCCUGCAAGAGACUCGUCUCGAUGAACAUGCCGUUGAACAGCGACGGCACCGUCCUGUUCAACGCGACGUUGUUCGCUGUCGUGAGGACGUCGUUGAGGAUCAAGACAGAGGGUAACAUUGACGACGCGAAUGCCGAGCUCAGGGCGGUGAUCAAGAAGAUCUGGAAGAGGACCAGUCCGAAGCUCCUGGAUCAGGUCGUUCCACCGCCCGGAGUGGACGACGAGGUGACGGUAGGCAAGUUUUACGCGACCUUCCUCAUCCAGGACUACUUCCGGCGAUUCAAGAAACGCAAGGAACAGGAAAUGAAGGACGGCGACAAGGAUUGCCACAACACCGUGACUCUUCAGGCUGGGUUGAGGACGCUGCACGAGGCCGGCCCCGAGUUGAAACGCGCCAUUUCCGGCAACUUGGAAGAACUCCUCGACGACAAUCCGGAGCCUAUGCACAGGAGAAACCAUUCGCUCUUUGGCAGCGUGUGGUCCAGCAUGCGGAAAGGACACCACAGCUUCCACAGGGCGAGGUCGUUAAAGGUUAACUCUACCGCCGCAAAGGCUUCCCCGACCAAUUCCAUAGACUUCUUGCCGUAUUCCUCGUUGCAGAGGGCCGGCGGCCCGGAUGCCGCUAAUCAAAUCACUGCGAGGUCUCACCAAGUUGUGCCAAAUGUCGCGGGUGGUCUGAGCGAUGGCGCGAUGAAUCAAAUGGGGAUAGACCCACGACUGACGGGCAUGGAGGAGAACAUACCCCUGAGACCGCUCGCUGUCUUCGGCAACCCCGUGCAACAGACGCCUUAUCAGAGCACGUACAAGGUGGUCGAUUCCCUGGGCCGCAGAGAGUAACGGAAGCAUCGGCGCAGAGCGCCUGUCCCACAGCCUGCCCGGGAGUCCCGCGGACCGGAAGCCGAAUUUCGAGGUCAUCGGCAGCGCGGAGAGUCUCGUCGGUCGGGUGCUGGUGGAGCAAGGUCUCGGCAAGUACUGCGACCCGGACUUCGUGCGCUACACGUCGCGCGAGAUGCAGGAGGCGCUGGACAUGACGCGGGAGGAGAUGGACCGGGC